GUGUUAUAUGCAAAGAGAGAAAGUUAGCACUCCCCUUGACAAAGAUGGAAGAGGCCGUUGGGCCUGACAAUACACAUAGGGUUAAGGUAUUGCCACCUAAUUCGUGGCAUCUAACCACUGUAAAAA
rnacentral:ncRNA from 1 species